UACGUAGGGUGCAAGCGUUAAUCGGAAUUACUGGGCGUAAAGCGUGCGCAGGCGGUGAUGUAAGACAGAUGUGAAAUCCCCGGCUCAACCUGGGAACUGCAUUUGUGACUGCAUCGCUGGAGUGCGGCAGAGGGGGAUGGAAUUCCGCGUGUAGCAGUGAAAUGCGUAGAUAUGCGGAGGAACACCGAUGGCGAAGGCAAUCCCCUGGGCCUGCACUGACGCUCAUGCACGAAAGCGUGGGGAGCAAACAGG
rnacentral:rRNA from 1 species